rnacentral:rRNA from 1 species
UACGGAGGGUGCAAGCGUUAAUCGGAAUUACUGGGCGUAAAGCGCACGCAGGUGGCUGAGUCAGUCGAUUGUGAAAGCCCUGGGCUUAACCUGGGAAUUGCAGUCGAUACUACUCAGCUAGAGUAUGGGAGAGGGCAGUGGAAUUCCCGGUGUAGCGGUGAAAUGCGUAGAUAUCGGGAGGAACAUCAGUGGCGAAGGCGGCUGCCUGGCCCAAUACUGACA